UUUUUGCUUUUUAGAGCUGCACCCAUGGCCUAUGGAGGUUCCCAGGCUAGGGGUCGAAUUGGAGCUACAGGUGCCAGCCCCAGCCCCAAGAAGCUACAGGUGCCAGCCCCAGCCAUGCAGAAUCUGGGCUGCAUCUGCGACCUACACCACAGCUCAUGGCAAUGCCAGAUCCUUAACCCACUGAUGGAGACCAGGGAUUGAACCUGCAACCUCUUGGUUCCUAGUCGGAUUUGUUUCUGCUGUGCUAAGACUGGAACUCCACAACUUGUGUCUGUAACCCAUAUUCCAAAAUAAAUACAGACAGCAACAUCUACAAAAAUAAAAACAAGUCUCGUUGCAGUGCAAUGUAUAAAUAUUCAACCAGUUAUUUAAGAAACGACCAGGGCCCUCCUCUCUGUUUCCAUCUCUCUGUGCACUAGUCACACCCAAACUCCACCGAGUUUUACAUGUUUUAAACAUGUCCAAUUGUUUUUACUAUCUCCUCACUGACAAAGCUUCACCACCAAUUAGAGAAAUAAAUUGGCCUAACGAAUGAAUUAUUAAAAUCCGCCUCUGCUGUUGCUGCCUUGAGAAUGAUCAUAUGCAUAUUCAAAGCACCGCCCUCAAGCCCCCAACCCACUUUCCAAGAGUUUAAACAGGCCUUGAAGAGGCCUUCUUCUCUGAUGACUGCCAGGUGCUGAAGAAAAAUUGCUUUUAGCUUCGCACUGGAUGAAACUCCAAUUAUAUGGCACUGGAGUGCAACGGAAAUUUCUGUAAUCUUCUCAGUAGCUGUAUUGAGACCUAAGGCAUGUGAUUUCAAACAUGUGAAACCAUAGCAAGGGUCUGUUUGGCCCACUCUGUAAUGUUGGGCUAUUAUCAUUGGUACGUCAGCAGGGAAUGAGAGAAGUAAGAAUCCUACAGAUGCCAUGGAGUUCCCAUGGUGGCUCAGCCAAAACAAACGGGACUAGCACUCAUGAGGAUGCGGGUUCAAUCCCUGGUCUUGCUCAGUGGGUUAAGGAUCCUGCAUUGCUGUGGCUGUGGUGUAGACCCAAGCCUCAUCUGCAAACUACACCACAGCUCACGGCCACGCCAGAUCCUUAACCCACUGAGCCACAACGAGAACUCCAAGAACCAGCUUUCUCUUUCAAAAAGAAAAGAAAAGGCCGUGGGUCCCUUUGCUUCUUGGCAGUUUUGACAUUUUCUGACGUGUUAUGUCCUUAAUGAAAUCCUUUUAUGAGUUAAGUCCUGUGCCGGCUGCCAUGGAGACACAAAGAAAAAAAUAAAAGACGGUGCCUGCCUUCAGAAAGUGUACUGCUAUGAAGGCAGGAAGAGACAGACUCAUGAGUUAUUUCAACAAGGGUAACCCAAUAAAGAUGGAGCCAGCCAGGGCUACUUCUGGACGAGGAGGCUGGUAUAAAUAAGACAGAAUGACAGGAAGAAGAGGGAGGGCAGAGCCUCAAACUGGGAAUGACCUGGUCAAGACAGGGAUGGGAAGCAAGACAGCCUUCCCAACCAAAGUAUAGCAAACGUAAAAUAAAAUUCAAGUACAUUAAUCUUAAGUGUAUAACUCAAUGACUUUCCCAUUCACCUAAACCCUUGUAACCACCAGCCGUGUCAAGGUAUAGAACGCUUCCCUAAGAAAACAUGUAAACUUUAAACAGAUCAAAUUAUGAAAACCCACCAGUUCUUUUCAGGAAUGAAUCUAUAUUCUCUGGCGUAGCCUUAUAUAACCCGGGAUGUGUUUUAUGUAAUGACUUUAAAUAAACACAGGCCCAGAUCUUGUCGUGCAUCUAUUUUGAAGAUUUAGGUGACCACGCCAACUGUAAUUCCUGACAUUUUCCCAACAUUUUCUCAAACCAUGACACACUUCGCUCCUCCUACGAUUUCAGAAGCUCCUCCCAUCAUUCGGACUGACAGUAACACGAGCGAUGUAGCAUCUUCUUAACGUGCUAAGUCCCCUGGCACUUGAUGACUCACAAAACAGAUCAGUUGUGUCCUGGAUAUGCUAUGGAAGAAGUCUUUGCAGCACCUGACGGAUCUACAGCCAUUCCUGAGGUGUUUCUUGGGCAGAGAAGCACCUAGGAGGCUAGAAGAAGGCAAACUGAUGGAGGCAGCCACUUCUGGAAAGUCUGGGCAGCAACCUCAGAAGCCUGCUGCUCCUUGGGGAUGCUCUGCCUGCCAUCUGAGGGUGACGACCACACACGUUCUUCCUUGGGGAGUUUGAGUGAGAUGCACAGAAAAAGGCGGCAUAUAAUACAGGAGCAAAGAAGCACAGAGAGAGAAGGAAGGAAGCAGAAGCCGUGGUGGGGAAACGAAGUAGCAAGGAUGCAGCUGAAGGCAGAGGCGGCAGAAGAUGCAUUUAGUGAGAGAGGCAGCGUGGACCACGCAGAGGUUCGCGCGGGGUGCUCCAGGGCAGUCCCUAGUGGGUCUCUCUGGAGAAGACGUUGGAACUCAAGCUGUUGUCACCUCUGACAGAGGAAAUACCUUUCCAGGUCUGCAGGGGCUGGGAUCUUUACUGAAACCUCAUUCACUGAGACAACCCAAGGCUUCCCAUUUCUUGACAAUGGAAGGGGCUUCACACAAAUUCUGUCUUACAUGAAAUUCAGUGACAGCACUUUUAUAAGUGCCUGGGGUUAUGGAGGGAGCGCUGGGACUCUGGGAAGAGCAAGGUGAAUUAUGUUAGGAAAAAAAUCAUGCAGGAACAAGACUAAGUUGUCAU
ensembl:lncRNA